rnacentral:rRNA from 1 species
AUUGAACGCUGGCGGCAUGCUUUACACAUGCAAGUCGAACGGUAACAGGCCUUCGGGUGCUGACGAGUGGCGAACGGGUGAGUAAUGCAUCGGAACGUGCCCAGAGGUGGGGGAUAACGCAGCGAAAGCUGUGCUAAUACCGCAUGUGAUCUGAGGAUGAAAGCGGGGGACCAGGCAGCAAUGUUUGGCCUCGCGCCUUUGGAGCGGCCGAUGUCAGAUUAGGUAGUUGGUGGGGUAAAGGCCUACCAAGCCGACGAUCUGUAGCUGGUCUGAAAGGACGACCAGCCACACUGGGACUGAGACACGGCCCAGACUCCUACGGGAGGCAGCAGUGGGGAAUUUUGGACAAUGGGCGCAAGCCUGAUCCAGCAAUGCCGCGUGCGGGAAGAAGGCCUUCGGGUUGUAAACCGCUUUUGUACGGAACGAAAAGGCUCUGGCUAAUACCUGGGGCUGAUGACGGUACCGUAAGAAUAAGCACCGGCUAACUACGUG